rnacentral:rRNA from 1 species
GACGAACCGUACAAACGUUAUUCGGAAUCACUGGGCUUAAAGGGUGCGUAGGCGGCGGCGCAAGUUGGGUGUGAAAUCCCUCGGCUCAACCGAGGAACUGCGCUCAAAACUGCGUCGCUUGAGGGAGAUAGAGGUGAGUGGAACUUAGGGUGGAGCGGUGAAAUGCGUUGAUAUCCUAAGGAACACCAGUGGCGAAAGCGACUCACUGGGUCUCUUCUGACGCUGAGGCACGAAAGCUAGGGUAGCGAACGGG